rnacentral:lncRNA from 1 species
GCUGGCAUUACUCCUACUCUCCCCCCUCAAGUCAGUGGCUUCAGGCUUAAGAAAACCUGUAUUUUUCUUGGCUGUGCCAUAAUCCGUAAUUACCGAGGCCCCCAGCGACCCACCCAGUGUGAUUCGCAGAGGGAAAGGAGCUGGAAUAAGGACCGUGAAUGGGGCGGAUGUGGCUCGUCCUGGGAGAGAGCUAAAGCUUAUGCUGGUCGCAAACAGCAUUACAUUGCAGGAAACUGCUCUUCCAAUGGCCGUGGCUGGGUCCUUCCACACCAUCCCUCUGCCCUAGACCUUUGUCCCCGUUCAGAGCCAUCAGAGAUUCUAGGAGAGCUGUCGACAACCGCAUCUCUUCGGAACUUGGAAACUCUAGGUUCAAGAUCUCCGUGGAGAAUGAAAGGCACAGUCGCCUGACCCGGGCAUCAGGCUUGCCCCGCACAUCAAGUCCCUCCCCUACUGGAUGGAACUCUGUGGCAAUCGCUCCUUAUUCUGAUGGUUCACUCUGUCAGAUAUCCUCGAUAUUUGGGGAUAGUAGUUCAAAAACAGCCGGGGAGGAAAAUGGGCUGAAAGAUUCCAGCGUUGGAUGUAGAAUUGACAGCGAGACAUACACCUCCUCUCUAAGCCCAGAGAAAAGCUCAAGUUGUGGUUCUCUGUCUCUAGCAGCAUGAUCUUCAAAAUGCAUCAUUGAUUUCUAUCUUCUGGGAAAUGCAAUGCAGGUGAACUUGUAAGUGCUCAAAUCCUCCAUCUCCUCACUUUUCAGACUGAGGCCUUUUUUUUUUUAAAUCUGAGAAGAAAUAUGGGACUGCCACUGCUCAGUAGGAAAAUGUCCUUUCCCACAAGCAUUUAUAUUUUAAUAAAAAUCUGCACUUUGUGAGUUGAGCCCCCUCAAAGAGACCUACAAACCCUGCCACAAAUAUCUCCAACCACACUCAUCAUUUCCGAUUUUCAUCACUGCUGCUCCUGUGCAAACCAAACUAUCCUUUCCCUGGGGCAUCCUAGGUAGAGGCCAUGCCAGGACAAAGGCAGAGAUAUGCCUGCCUGGUAAGGAAAUCCAUUUUGGCCUUGUAAUUCUCACCCUCUCCCAAGAUGUUUGCCUCAAUAUCUCCUUCCCACCUUACCCCGUCUUCAGCUAGCCAAAACAUUCCCUGGUAUUUGAGGCCCUUCCAAUUUCCUCCUGGUUUUGUGGGUGGGAGAAUAAAGAAAAAACUGCACUGUUCCCACCCACAUAGUUACAGCCACUUUAUCAAACGGAAGAGCAGUCUGGAGCCAUUGCAAAACAAAAUACCUGCCACAACUCCUCUCUUCUCAUUUCGACUCCAGCUUUUCAUCUUAGCAAAAAAGUUGCAAUCAGCACCCCCUAGACGGAAGGAAUAUCCUGUCUUAAUGGGAGUCCAUAGGAGGCUGCAGGCUGCUCCCCUACAGAGACUAACAUCAAGGUAGUUGCAGAAUUCAGAUUCUAAUUACAGUGUGGUUGGAGGCGGGGUGGAUUCCAGGGAGGUCAGGAAGAGGUAAAGUACAGAAUUGAGCUCCUUGGGAGGAGGUCAUAGGAACUUUGCAGUAUGAAAAUGGCUAGAGAUUGGGUAGAAUUGAGCAGGCUGGCAAUGGCAGUUUUGUGUGGGUGGUAGGACCUAGGAUUCAAACUUGAGGGCAAAUUGUGGAGCACAUACGACAAAUGAUGUAGAGCCUUUCCUAUUUCCCUUCCUGCUGUGUCAUCCGAAACAAUAAAUAAUAAAGAAUUAACAAAGACUGAUAUUUUUGUUCAAUUUCAUGAAGAAAAAUCUCAUCAAACUAAGAUAACUAUAAUGACAAAUCUUGUUAGAAUAUUAUUAACCAAAUGAAAGUGACACAAAACAGAAAAACGGUGGGAGGUGGGAGGGCCAAGAAAGAAAAAGUCCCCAACACUCAGGUGGUGUGUACAGGUGAAUCUUCUGGUCAGUUGGUAUGUUGCAGAAAGCUGGGCAACUAAUAAAUUAGGAGGCAGGAAUUCAUAUGAAUACUUUCCUGAUACAGAGAAACUCUUGGUUUUAACAAUCUACUUCUUUGUCAGGUAUUGGUUCUUGAUUUUAGGCUCAGAAAAGAUGGUAACAGUUAUAACUGUAGUAGAGCAGGUAAAAACAAAGAUCAUGCAGGAGUCUAGACAGAAAGUAAAAGGCAAAAAUGUCCCAGGGUAAGUAAUCUAGAGUAAGAAAGUGAAGAAUUCUGCUUGGUGCCAACGGAGGGCUCCACCAUGCCUCUGGUUCACCUACAAAAAAUGAACCAUUUGCUGUUGGUCUCUGGGAUUGAAGAUUCACCCUCCCAAUUUCCUGCCUGUCCUAAGCUUACCUGUAACUUAGAGGGUUUUGUGUCUGUUUUUUUGUUUGUUUUGUCUGUUUGUUUUGUAAAACACUCUCUACAAAUGUUUGAUAGAUUAUAAACCGCAGGAUCCACUAGACCCUGCAAGGUGCAGGGGAGCCCUGUGACUACCACUCCAAUGCACCUCCACACAUGUUCUUCCUCCUAGUUCCUCCACAGAAUUUCUUCUUCCUGGUUCCAUUUGCUGUAGUAAUUUGGGGCUGUAUUCACUGACAAGUUCCAAAAGUUUACCCAAUUUUGGUGACCGAUAAACUCUUGACUAACAAUUAUGUGUGUGUGUUUGUCUUUCCUGUAGGAGGAAAUCAGUGGUGCUUCAGGAUAUUGUGAAUUUGGUCUUCUGAAAGCAGAAUUCUGAUUUAACAGUAUAAUGGAAUUCGUGAACGUCAUGAUGCUAAUUUGAACCAACAAGCACCCUUGUGAGAGGAAUCUGCUUUUCCUCAAGUCUGAAGAACACCAGGAGAAUCUUUCUGUAUGGAGUUACCAGGAAUCCUCUGCUAAGGAAAGUGAAAGGGAAGAUGCAAUUUCUCCUGGGAAGGGGGGAUGCUGAUGUAGAGGGUGACAAGUAAUAUGCCAUGAAGGAUUCAGUCACCUGGUUAGAUUUAGAGUUAGAGUUAUGGUUAAGGAAGAAGGAAGGAAAAAAGGCAGAAGAGGAAGAAAGGAAGCAAGAAAAGAUAAAAUUUAUUCUAAGAUAAAAUUUGUGAAUUUUGCUAAACUA